GUGUUGUUUCUAAACUGAACUUUAUUUUGCUUAGCUAACAAGUUAUUUGAAAAAAAAAAGAAAAAGAAAAAAAGCAACCCAAAGCAACAUAUCCUUCUUUUCUUUCCCUUUUUUUUUUUUUUAAUGUUAUUCCAUCCUGGAAUAAUAAUAUUCAUCAGCUAACGGAAAGUCAGCUACUUCAAAUAGCACUAAUGGAACUGCUAAAUAUACUGAUUAGGGCUUUUUACUUUUUAAAAUUUAUAGUGAAGUACUUAAUAAAGGAUUCUCUCUUUUUCGGGAAACUCUUUUACUAUAUGGAAGCAUGAGUGUGUUUCUCUUAAUAGACUUUCAGCCUUUACUAACACUUUCCAUGUUUUAUAACUCCCAGGUUGGCUAAAAGUAAUAAUGCCAGUUGACAUGUGAUCGACACAAACAUUUUUUAUUUGGUGACUUAAUGUUCUUGGGAGGUUAUUUGGGGUAGUUUUCAUUCUUGAAGUUGUCAAUGGUAGAGAAAAAGAAAAUUAAAGCAAAACUACAUCAUGUGCAAAGGAGAACAAUUUUUAAUUUGAGAAAAUUUGCUCAUGUAAUUUUUUUUUUUUAAUAGAGCACUCUCUGUCAGAAUAUUUCUGGCCACUUUUGUCCCCAACAUACAAGUAUAAGGGUUGAUUUCUAACUGUUCAUGUUCAAGUCUGUGACUGCAACAUCAAUAUUUAGCAGGCUACUUCCUCUAAUGAUAUCUGUGGUGGAAGGUGAAACAUUAAAGAACCCUAUUAGCCAGGCAUGUCAUGUCACGUUACAAAUUAGCAGGGGUCCUCAGAUGUGGAUUGGAAUCACCUGUGGAGCUUAAAAAACGCUCAUACCCAUGUCCUAAAUUCAGAGAUUCCUAAGCUGUUUUAGAAUGGGGCCCAGGCAUCAGCAUUUCUCAAAAGUUCCCCCACAUAAUUCUAGCACAGCCAUAAUUGAGAUCUAUUUAUAUAUAGAUUCAUUCAAGUACCUACCCUCUUAAAAAUGAAUCUUGAAAGUUUUAACAAGAGUAAUUUCUCUAGGAAGUCUUUUUUGGAAUUGAUUCAUUUUAAAUUGCAGAAAGAUUUAGUGAGAAUACCAACAGAAAAUCAUGGUCUUGGCCAGUUUUAUGAAUAAAUAAAAAAAAAUAAAGACUGCAUAAGACUAUAUUAAACUAUAUUAUGCUAGUGUAUGUUUUUCACUGAAAUAAUCAUACUGAGUUUAAAAAUUAUGUAUAUAAAAUAAUUAUGGACUCAUGGGGGCAUAAGCAACUUUUAUUAAACUAAUAGCAAAUGUUUAUUUCUUUAAAACAUACAGGUUACAAAACCAUCUUUUAAAUAAAUGUUUAAAAAUUCACUACCUUUGGUGACAGAGAUUUUAUUUGCACAAGAAUGACAAAAAAAAAAAUUACCUUCCUUCACUACUCUUAGCACUGUCCAUCUAAAUCCCAGACUUAAUGCAAUGAGUUCGAGAUAUUUUACCUCCUGACAAUUUCACAGUUAUCUUUAUCUGUUAUCACUGACAUAUAAGCCAUAUCUAUUUUCUGAUUUAGCAAUAGGAAAAAUCUGGGAGAAAUUAAUUUAAAAUAUAAUGUUUCUUUUCUAGAAGCAAAACAUUUCUAUCUCUGAGCUCUAUACCAUAUAGUAAAGUUAUUUUAAUCAGUUUGCCUCUUUUGACCUGGGGUGCUUUUCUUCCUAUUUGAUACCUUUAUCACUGAUGAUUUUAGAAUAGACCCAUUUUAGUUGGCUUCAAGAUAAGAUAUCAACACCUACAUGAUACACUCAUGAAAUAAUAACACUCAUAUUUUGGUGACUUUUUGAAUUUAUGCUGUUAUAUAAUACCACAAAUUAUAUAAUCAUAAGACUUCAACCUCUGUGGCCUGUCAACUCCAAACUGCAGCUAGACGGAUAUGAAACUACUUGACAGAGUGGUAGUCUCAUUGUUAGACUCAUGGAUGAGGAAAAGACCUGUGGAUUUUUCCAACCUAUUCUCUGCAAGAUGAGGCUAAUUUAUCUUUAGGCAAACACCUUUCCCUGGGUCUCCCUGGGACAAUUAUGUCAUUCAUGCUAGGACAUUCUGUAGCAUUUGGAAGAUAACCAUUGUCCUGAAUGUUUGGCUAUAGUUUUGUUUAAAAGUAGUAAUUGGUUUCAGAUGAAGCUUUGCAUAAGCUCAAUUUCUAGGGUUCUAUGAAUAUGUAAAUAACAUUAAAUUUUCUUCAGGGGAAAUGAUAGAUGAAUCCAAUAAGCUUUCUGGGUAGCAUUCAAUUUGCUAUUAUAUGAGAUAAAGGAUAAAAAUCAAGCUAAUUGAUCAAUUAUAUUUAUUCAGGGAUCUAGAAAAAACAAUUUGUUUUUCUUAAUCCAGAGCAAAGAAUUGUAAGGACUGCUGUAUACAGGUUAAGCUUCUUACUGAAGAUGUCUUUCUGGGUGAGCCCUAGGGAAGGGGGUUUCACCCAUUCCUUGGGGUAAGGAGUCAGCCUUACCCCAGGAGAAGGGCAGGGGAAUCCACAGAUUUAUUCCCUUAUCCAUGAAUCUGACAAUGAGGCUAUCAACAUUAUAAGCAGUUUUCUAUCUAGCUACAUUUUGGUGUUUGUAAUCCACUCAGGUGAAAGUUCUGUGAUUGCACAGUUAGCAAAUUUGAUAUGACAGUAUAAUCUUGAAAAAAAAAUCAGAAACAUUAGAAAUAUAAGUCACAAUUUAGUGAGUAUGUCAUUUUUUAAAGAAAAAAUAAAAAAAUAAUAACUAUUUAUGAGGUCCCAAAGUUUUAUAUAAAAAUGAAAAAGCUGUUUUGGAGUUAGAAAUUACUGUAGCCUUCUGUCAAAUUAGUCUUGACAACUGUUAGAAGACAUUAUCAUCAAAAAUAGGGCAGCAUUUCACUCUGUGUGUCAAAUAUAAUCAACAUACAUGGCUUUAAGAAAGUGUGACCAUUUUCCCGUAGUGACACAAGCAAGAAGCUGGAAUAGGAGUUUGUUUGUUUGUUUGUUUUAACUUUACUCCCCUCACAGAAAUCCAACAAGCAACUAUCCACAGGCCGGAAUACCAUCCCAAAUAUUCACGAACUUGGGAGUGAGGCUGAGACAACCCCUUGGACUGCAGAACUGAGAAAAGCCACAACUGAAUGGAGGCAGCUUCAGGUCAAUGAUUACCCAUGGGAAGAGCAUCUGGCCACCACCAAACCUUGGUGCUCUACUCUACCCUAGACCAGUAGGUAAGCCCAAGUCCACAAAUAUCUAUAGGGCAUAUCAUCUGGCCUUGUCCAUCUUGCCUGGCUGCAUAAAAACCACAGAAAUCUCACCUAGUAUGGGAGCCUGUCAUAGGGCCAUGCCCAACCACAGGUUCCAAGCCACAGUGCUGCCGAGUCAGGGAAGACAACUUGCAACUCUACCUAAUCAGACAUGACUGCAGAGCCCAACCAGCAGCCUCACCUGAUGGCAAAGUUCAGUUAGUGAUUUCACUGAUCACAGAGCACAGCCAGCAAUACUAUUUGAUCUCAGAGCACAAGAAACAACCCAGCCCAAUUAUAGAACCUGACACUAAGCAAAGGCUGCCAGCUACCCAUCUAGAAUCUCAGGGUAGACUAAAUAGUAAAGAACUAUAGCCACCAAAAGAACACCUGCAAAGGCUGGAAGAUGUGGGCUUCUCCUCAAAUGCACAGGCACCGAUAUAAGGAUACAAGAUAAAAACUCAGGCAACACGGCACCAACAAAAGAAACCAAUAAAGCUUGUAUAAUAGACCCAGAAUAAAUGGAGAUCUAUGAAAUCACUGACAAAGAAUUUAGAAUAAUCCU